GAUGAACGCUGGCGGCGUGCCUAAUACAUGCAAGUCGAGCGAACAGACGAGGAGCUUGCUCCUCUGACGUUAGCGGCGGACGGGUGAGUAACACGUGGAUAACCUACCUAUAAGACUGGGAUAACUUCGGGAAACCGGAGCUAAUACCGGAUAAUAUAUUGAACCGCAUGGUUCAAUAGUGAAAGACGGUUUUGCUGUCACUUAUAGAUGGAUCCGCGCCGCAUUAGCUAGUUGGUAAGGUAACGGCUUACCAAGGCGACGAUGCGUAGCCGACCUGAGAGGGUGAUAGGCCACACUGGAACUGAGACACGGUCCAGACUCCUACGGGAGGCAGCAGUAGGGAAUCCUCCGCAAUGGGCGAAAGCCUGACGGAGCAACGCCGCGUGAGUGAUGAAGGUCUUCGGAUCGUAAAACUCUGUUAUUAGGGAAGAACAAAUGUGUAAGUAACUAUGCACGUCUUGACGGUACCUAAUCAGAAAGCCACGGCUAACUACGUG
rnacentral:rRNA from 1 species